rnacentral:rRNA from 1 species
UGGGGAAUAUUGCACAAUGGGCGGAAGCCUGAUGCAGCGACGCCGCGUGGGGGAUGAAGGCCUUCGGGUUGUAAACUCCUUUCGACAGGGACGAAGCUUUUGUGACGGUACCUGUAUAAGAAGCACCGGCUAACUACGUGCCAGCAGCCGCGGUAAUACGUAGGGUGCGAGCGUUGUCCGGAAUUACUGGGCGUAAAGAGCUCGUAGGUGGUUUGUCGCGUCGUCUGUGAAAUUCCGGGGCUUAACUCCGGGCGUGCAGGCGAUACGGGCUGAAUUGAGUGCUGUAGGGGAGAAUGGAAUUCCUGGUGUAGCGGUGAAAUGCGCAGAUAUCAGGGGGAACACCGAUGGCGAAGGCAGGUCUCUGGGCAGUAACUGACGCUGAGGAGCGAAAGCAUGGGUAGCGAAAAGG